UUAGGUGUCAUAUAAAAUAAGACGGACAUAUACAAAAUGUUUCAACUUGGUUACACAGGAUGGAAAGAAUUGAGAAGAAACGCAUCAAAGCUGGAAUGACUCUGAGCAGCAGAUAAUUGGAGUGAACUGUCUGGUCAUACAGCUGCCGUGGUGGAGCAGAGUGGAAUCAAGUGGAUGAGCUCCCCCCGGAGCACCUUCAGUCCCAUCCCUGACACUUCUGCCUGUGUCGAGCUGUCGUUGGUGGUCUCCUCAGCGCCAUUGCCUCUAACCCAACUCAAGAGCUUCUCUCACAUCUCACACCCCACCACCUAACACCAGUGCCAGGCUGCCACCUCAUAAAGAUUUGAAUUACAGUCCAAUAUAACUUUGGGUCUUAUAGGUCUUCUCCCUGGGAUAAUAAGUUUAGAGCUCUGCAGCAGACAUAAAUAGUUUUAGCAGGAAAAUUAUAUUGAAUAGUAAUACUCUCUAGUGCUUUCUGUAAUGACAAAUGAAAGAAGCCUACAUUAAUGAGUCAAUUUUUUUUUCUAGGACUGAGACUACUGCUGUUGAACAACACAGAAAGGAUUUAGCUAAGCAGUUGAUGCACUAAAACAGGCCCAACUGCUAAGUUAUGCAGUGAUUCAUUCAAGGUCAUAGAGAUGCAAGUCAAGCUACACCUGAAAUGGGCAGCAUGCCAAGAGAAGAGUCUUGGUUUUCUAGCUGGACUGGAACCUGGGAGGCUGGAAGGCAGGAGUUGCUUCAUUAUUGUAGACCACGUGGAGCCUGAGAAGUACGUCAACACAGGAAGGAGAGCAGAGCCCAGCCAAGAGCCAGAGAGGAGCUGGGUCUGGGGAUAUUCUAAGUUCCUGUGCAGCUGGGUCAGAAGAUGGCUCUACCCCUGCACCUCUCAGCAUUGUGACUCCC